ACUAAACUCACUAACUAACCACAGAGUAAUGAGAAGUAUUGUUCGGCGAAAAAGGUGAGAUGAUAAAAACAAAUGUUAUCAGUAAAUUGUUAAAACAGUGAAAUGAAAAACAAUAUCAGCAUUGUCUGUAGUAUAAAA